UACAGAGGUCCCAAGCGUUGUUCGGAUUCAUUGGGCGUAAAGGGUGCGUAGGCGGCGCGGUAAGUCGGGUGUGAAAUCUCGGGGCUUAACUCCGAAACUGCAUUCGAUACUGCCGUGCUUGAGGACUGGAGAGGAGACUGGAAUUACGGUGUAGCGGUGAAAUGACGUAGAUAUCGUAAGGAAGACCAGUGGCGAAGGCGGGUCUCGUGGACAGUUCCUGACGCUGAGGCACGAAGGCCAGGGGAGCAAACGGG
rnacentral:rRNA from 1 species